GUAUUUUAACAAUGAUUUUCUGAUAGCAAUUAGAUGAUAAUGAUUAAUUAUGAGUUGCCGCUUUGAGUAAUAAAAAAAAUAUCCAUGAAACAUGUUAUGUUAAUCACAAAAAAUAUACUAUAAUUUGUUGUCUGGUCAAAUUUCGUAUAGCUCACUUAGAUAAAUAUUUGUGGCCCCAAAUACCUAACCCAAUACAAGAACUGAAUUAACCUCAAUUAAUUCAGCCCAUACAUUAAGUCAUCAGAGCCCAUCAACUCAAACCCUACAAGAAGAGAGGAUGAACGUCAAUCCCAUAAAUAUCGGAACGACUAGGGUUUAAGGAGACGUGCCAGCAAAACCCUAGUCGUCAGGCUACCAUAGGUCCACAGUAUAAAUAAACAUCGACUAGGUCAAUAGACUCAUCCAAUCAUUCGUACCUACUCCACUUACUUACGUUCUCUACUCUCUUUGCGCACUUGCUCGAUCUCUCCGCCCCCACGCUCUUACGUUAUGGAUUUGGGCUUGCUCUGACCAGUCAGACAGACCAGCCAGACAGACCAGUCCAACCGACGAGAUUUACUAUCUCACCUUUAUUCUACUGUUCAAUUAUCUUUACGCAUCAUAUUCAUUUUUCCUAUCAAUUACUUCGAAUUGUUUGACUGACUUGAGCGUCGGAGGCCCUUCCAUCGACACCCCCACCGGUGCUCCUAGAAGGGCUCUAAUGUGUUUGUGGUUUCAGGUUGCUAGUGUCCGACGACCCGGACGUACCUGACGUCCUAUUUCGUGAUUGUGGAUCCAUCCCCAACAUUGCCCAAGUCUAAUGUUUGAAGGGGCCUUUUGUGCAUGAAAAGGGCAUUUUCAUUUAAAAACAUGAAUAGAAAAAAAAUAAAUUCUCCUUACUUUGGAUGUGCAAGGGAUGCGAAUAUAUAUUCAAUAAUUGAGAUAAUAAAUAAUAAUCAAUUGGGCAUCUAGCUCAGCUAGUAAACCCAAUGCUUAUAAAACACAAGGUUGUAAGAUCGAAAUACACAAACCUUGUAUACUUCUCA